rnacentral:rRNA from 1 species
UACAGAGGCCUCGAGCGUUAGGCGGAAUCACUGGGCUUAAAGCGUGUGUAGGCGGACUUCUAAGUACCUUGUGAAAUCCCACGGCUUACCCGUGGAACUGCUUGGUAUACUGGUUGUCUUGAGCUUUCUAGGGGCGAGUGGAACAAAUGGUGGAGCGGUGAAAUGCGUAGAUAUCAUUUGGAACGCCAAUGGUGAAAACAACUCGCUGGGGAAAUGCUGACGCUGGGACACGAAGGCUAGGGUAGCAAACAGG